CAAAUAUCACAUGGAACAACAUAGAUGGAUCUCAGAAAUAUCAUAUUUAACAGAAGAGGCCAAACCCAAAAGACCACUGUGGGAUUCCAUUACAUGAAUAUCAACAAGAGGAAACUCUAACUUACGACGAUGAGAACAAGAACAGCAAUGUCGGUGGGUAAGUAAUCUAGAGCAAUUCUAUUGUUUAGCAGAACUUUCACAAGAGAAUUUAAAGUCUGUCAUGUAACCAUCAGGGAACCAUAAAAAGCUUUCUUUGUCUGGUGAAAAUAGACUGUGGCAUAAUAAUCUUCUUUUAUAACAUUUGUCUGCUUGCAUGGGAAAUCCCUUCUACAACCAGAAAACGUGCAUUGAAAAUUAAAAUUGAUGAAAUCCCUGUGUAAAUGCUUAAAUGGCUCAUUGGGUAGUCAAAACUGCAGCUUUGAUUGUCUUCCCAGGAAUAUGGAUUUGACAAACCAAACAUUAGUCAUAAACUGUUUUAGCAAUUUAGAAAUCACCAAACCAAUAUAUUUUUAAUAUGGAUCACUUUAUCUUUUCAAUGAUGAGUCACAGAAUGUACAACCUUUAAUAACGAAAUAUUUAAGGACUCAGGAAAGAGAAGGUG
rnacentral:lncRNA from 1 species